GGCCCGGCCCGGCGCGGCUCCCUCGGCGAGGGGGGGCCCUUGCGCCCCUCGCACUCCGUGUUAGCACGGGGAGCCUCUCCCCGGGGCUGCCCCACCUCCGGGAGUCCCCCGCGGCGCCUCGGGGGGAGGCCGGGAGCCGUGCGGGCCCGGGGCCGGCGACUGCCCCCAGCCGCCGUCUCCUGAGAGGCGGGAGGGCAGCGCCUGCGGGCCCGGGGGCUGCGGCCGCCGAGGCGCCGCGGCCGAGAGGCCCCGGCGGGCGCGGGCUGCCCCGGGCGGGGGCCAGCACUGGCGGGGGAGCCGCGCCCCCGGCGCCUCUGCCCCGGCAGCGCUGCGGGCUCGGUGCAUCCUGGGCGCUGCGGAGGUGGCGGCAAGUUGCUCGAGUGCCACCGUGUUUCAGGCUGCACGGGCCUUAAAGCCCGGCCUGUGGCUUCCGCCGCCCGCCCGCCCGCCGGGCUGGCCGACGUGGGGAUGGAGCGGGGUGACAGCUAUCAGUUAAGAGUCUGCAGCGUGACUGGCAAAUCCUGCGCUCCCCGGCUUCCCUCCCUUGCAACUUCAACGUUUCUGUUUCGUAAGAGUCUGAAGGGGAGGAAUGCAUCAUGCAUAACUGCUCUAGCGUAAUUUCACCAACGUCUUUCUUGCAUCCAUUUUGCUAAACGACUAGAAAAUAAAUCACCCCUGCCUCUUCUUUGGACCUUGCAUCACUCGCUCUCACCUCUCCGCCACCACGGGAGCCCUCGACCAGUAAAAACAGCUUUUUCAUCAAGUACCCUGUCACAGAAACCUUCCUUCAGUCUGGUGACUGGACAUGAAAGUGCCCUCACCGUUCUUGUAAAAACACCACCAUGCCAUUUUUUUUCUCCAGCUUUUCUCCAUGCAUCUGUAAGCACCCACAUUUACUUAGUCCAUGCCAGCUGCCAGCUACAAAAGACUUGACUUUUUCUUACUUCAGAGAAAUCAAAUAGUAAUUGUUUUCCAGUAUCAGGUUUGACAGGGACAGACGUUUACAAGUGCACACAGAUCUGUUUAGCCAGCUGCCUGUACAAACAAGUGUAACAAGUCACAGAUCACUGUACUGUACUGAGCAUCCAUGUACUGACUAAGGAGAAAAAGGAAAACAAGUUAUCUUCAGGUUUUUGUUCCUCUAUGGGAAAAAUUAUCUCAAAGCAAAAUUCCAUGCUGAUCUAGCUUUAUUUUUUAAUGUUAAGCUAGAAGUACUGAUUAAAAAUGUUUAAAAUGCA